rnacentral:rRNA from 1 species
GCAGCAGCCGCGGUAAUACGUAGGGUGCGAGCGUUAAUCGGAAUUACUGGGCGUAAAGCGUGCGUAGGCGGUGAGUUAAGUCUGCUGUGAAAUCCCCGGGCUCAACCUGGGAAUGGCAGUGGAUACUGGACGACUAGAGUGUGGUAGAGGGUAGCGGAAUUCCUGGUGUAGCAGUGAAAUGCGUAGAGAUCAGGAGGAACAUCCAUGGCGAAGGCAGCUACCUGGACCAACACUGACACUGAGGCACGAAAGCGUGGGGAGCAAACAGGAUUAGAUACCCCGGUAGUCCCUGUCUCUUAUAA